rnacentral:misc_RNA from 1 species
CCAAACUUGGUCAUUUAGAGGAAGUAAAAGUCGUAACAAGGUCUCCGUUGGUGAACCAGCGGAGGGAUCAUUAUUAGAGUUAAAACUCAAAACCCACUGUGAAUCUACCUCAAGUUGCUUCGGCAGAGGCCCACGGGGGGCCACGACUGCUGUAAAGUCGUCUGAGAAGUGCCCCAGAGUGCAACUCAGUUGCCGAAGAACGCCCAAACAAACGCUGUAAAAAGAAAACUGCAUCUGAGCUAUAUAAAAAACUAUUGAAAACUUUCAACAACGGAUCUCUUGGUUCUGGCAUCGAUGAAGAACGCAGC